rnacentral:rRNA from 1 species
AUACGGAGGGUGCAAGCGUUACUCGGAAUCACUGGGCGUAAAGCGCGCGCAGGCGGCCAUUUGAGUUGGAUGUGAAAGCCUACGGCUCAACCGUAGAACUGCAUCCAAAACUAUUUGGCUAGAGUGUGGGAGAGGAAGAUGGAAUUAGUUGUGUAGGGGUAAAAUCCGUAGAGAUAACUAGGAAUACCAAAAGCGAAGGCAAUCUUCUGGAACAUUACUGACGCUGAGGCGCGAAAGCGUGGGGAGCAAACAGGAUUAGAAACCCUAGUAGUCC